AGUGAACGCUGGCGGUAGGCCUAACACAUGCAAGUCGAACGGCAGCACAGUAAGGGCUUGCUCUUACGGGUGGCGAGUGGCGGACGGGUGAGGAAUACAUCGGAAUCUACUUUUUCGUGGGGGAUAACGUAGGGAAACUUACGCUAAUACCGCAUACGACCUACGGGUGAAAGCAGGGGAUCUUCGGACCUUGCGCGAUUGAAUGAGCCGAUGUCGGAUUAGCUAGUUGGCGGGGUAGAGGCCCACCAAGGCGACGAUCCGUAGCUGGUCUGAGAGGAUGAUCAGCCACACUGGAACUGAGACACGGUCCAGACUCCUACGGGAGGCAGCAGUGGGGAAUAUUGGACAAUGGGCGCAAGCCUGAUCCAGCCAUACCGCGUGGGUGAAGAAGGCCUUCGGGUUGUAAAGCCCUUUUGUUGGGAAAGAAAAGCAGCAGGUUAAUACCCCGCUGUUCUGACGGUACCCAAAGAAUAAGCACCGGCUAACUUCGUG
rnacentral:rRNA from 1 species